GUGGGGAAUCUUCCGCAAUGGACGAAAGUCUGACGGAGCGACGCCGCGUGAGUGAAGAAGGCCUUCGGGUCGUAAAGCUCUGUCAUCAGGGACGAACGGCCGGUGGAGUGGAAAGCCACCGGAUUGACGGUACCUGAGAAGGAAGCCACGGCUAACUACGUGCCAGCAGCCGCGGUAAUACGUAGGUGGCAAGCGUUGUCCGGAAUUAUUGGGCGUAAAGCGCGCGCAGGUGGGAUCUUAAGUCCAUUUUUAAAGUUCGGAGCUCAACUCCGUGAUGGGAUGGAAACUGGGAUUCUUGAGUACCGGAGAGGAAAGCGGAAUUCCCCGUGUAGCGGUGAAAUGCGUAGAUAUGGGGAGGAACACCAGUGGCGAAGGCGGCUUUCUGGACGGUGUCUGACACUGAGGCGCGAAAGCCAGGGGAGCGAACGGGAUUAGAUACCCGUGUAGUCC
rnacentral:rRNA from 1 species